CCAAGGCUAAAUACUACCUAGUGACCGAUAGUGAACCAGUACCGUGAGGGAAAGGUGAAAAGCACCCCGGAAGGGGAGUGAAAGAGAUCCUGAAACCGUGUGCCUACAAGUAGUCAGAGCCCGUUAAUGGGUGAUGGCGUGCCUUUUGUAGAAUGAACCGGCGAGUUACGAUCCCAUGCAAGGUUAAGCUGAUAAGGCGGAGCCGUAGCGAAAGCGAGUCUGAAUAGGGCGUUUAGUAUGUGGUUGUAGACCCGA
rnacentral:rRNA from 1 species